rnacentral:lncRNA from 1 species
AGAAAUUAGACCAUGUGUUAAUCGCUUACAUUCAUGGUAAAUUAAAUUGUUAGUUACAUAUUUUUCAAAUGGCGUAGGCAUGAGAAUAUGUCUGGAGGUGUAAUUUCAAUGAACAGACAUCAUAUAUUUAUAUUUUCGAAACCAGUAGUUAUCAAAGUACAAUUUAAGGGUACCUUGGGUAUAUUCGACUGACGGGUAGACAAAAGGAAGAUACAUGAAUUACUUGUUAUUGUGAUUGCAUGGAUACUUGUGUGUUAAAGUAGAGAUUAUGACCAGAUGAUCACAUAUACCCUGACUGUGAACGAUUGAAAAGUAGUUUCUGUGAUUUCAUGUGAAGCCAUCCCACUGACUUCGAGCAGUGUUACAGUGCUGAAAACACGUUUGUAACUGUUAAUUAUCAAGCAAAACAAAACAAUAACGAAAAUGAUGUUGUCUACGAACUGGAUAAUUCAAAUAUAUUACCUGUUGGUGUUAAUCUGUCUCAUUCUGACGCUCUAUGCUGAAGUAAUCAAGUGCAACAUGCCACACGACACCGGCACCGCCGCCACCAACAACAGCACCAGCGCCCUAGAGUCUUGGCACCGGUGCCGUCAUCACAACCAGAAAACAUCAGCAUAUUUUAGUCACAACACCGACGUCGUCAUCACCACCAACCACACCAGCACCUUAUAGCUUCGGCACCGGCGCCGUUACACCAUAAACAACAUCAUCAUCAUUAAAGUCAUGACAAUGUUCGCCGUCAUCACCUACAUCAACACCAGCAUCCUAAAGUCACUACACCGGGACCGCCACUUAAAAACAUCAACAGCACUUAUACAAGAGCCGCUACCAUUAUUUCCACCUUUAGUCCAGACACCGAGGUCGUCGAUAUCAACAACAUCUCCAACACUUCGAAUGUAAAGACCCCGGCGCCACCAUCCGCCACCACUGACAUCAUCAGCAUCUAACAGUGACAACAGCAGGCGCCGCCACCACAAAUAAAACACCUUAUAGUACCUGAAACAACGUAUUGCAAUGAACUAAUAUACUUUCAAAUAUUUUUCUCGUCUGUCCUUGGAAUAUGCGCAUUUGUAACUUGAAAUAAAAUAUCCUUGUGGAAAAGCCAGGAUAGAUAACUUGUCAACUGUCAGUUUCUAUUAUGUGUUCUAAAAUAUGCAUCAUAACAUGUAACAAUGUCAGAAUAAAGUCAUCUACGACAUCAUUAAAGAGCCAUAGUGCAAAAGCA